rnacentral:rRNA from 1 species
GACGAGCCACACGAACGUUAUUCGGAAUUACUGGGCUUAAAGGGUGCGUAGGCGGCGUGGAAAGUUGGGUGUGAAAUCCCUCGGCCUAACCGAGGAACUGCGCCCAAAACUACCAUGCUCGAGGAAGAUAGAGGUAAGCGGAACUUACGGUGGAGCGGUGAAAUGCGUUGAUAUCGUAAGGAACACCCGUGGCGAAAGCGGCUUACUGGGUCUUUUCUGACGCUGAUGCACGAAAGCUAGGGGAGCAAACGGG